GGAUAACCUACCCUUAGGACUGGGAUAACCCUGGGAAACUGGGGAUAAUACUAGAUAGGCAAUUUUUCCUGGAAUGGUUUUUUGUUUAAAUGUUUUUUCGCCUAAGGAUGGGUCUGCGGCCGAUUAGGUAGUUGGUUAGGUAACGGCUUACCAAGCCAUUGAUCGGUACGGGUUGUGAGAGCAAGAGCCCGGAGAUGGAACCUGAGACAAGGUUCCAGGCCCUACGGGGUGCAGCAGGCGCGAAACCUCCGCAAUGUGAGAAAUCGCGACGGGGGGAUCCCAAGUGCCAUUCUUAACGGGAUGGCUUUUCAUUAGUGUAAAGAGCUUUUGGAAUAAGGGCUGGGCAAGACCGGUGCCAGCCGCCGCGGUAACACCGGCAGCUCUAGUGGUAGCAGUUUUUAUUGGGCCUAAAGCGUCCGUAGCCGGUUUAAUAAGUCUCUGGUGAAAUCCUGUAGCUUAACUGUGGGAAUUGCUGGAGAUACUAUUAGACUUGAGACCGGGAGAGGUUAGAGGUACUCCCAGGGUAGAGGUGAAAUUCUGUAAUCCUGGGAGGACCGCCUGUUGCGAAGGCGUCUAACUGGAACGGUUCUGACGGUGAGGGACGAAAGUUAGGGGCGCGAACCGGAUUAGAUACCCGGGUAGUCCUAACUGUAAACGAUGCGGACUUGGUGUUGGGGUGGCUUUGAGCUGCUCCAGUGCCGAAAGGGAAGCUGUUAAGUCCGCCGCCUGGGAAG
rnacentral:rRNA from 1 species